UACGAAGGGGGCUAGCGUUGCUCGGAAUGACUGGGCGUAAAGGGCGCGUAGGCGGCUUGUAUAGUCGGAUGUGAAAUUCCCGGGCUCAACCUGGGGGCUGCGCUUGAUACUGAUGAGCUUGAAUGCGGGAGAGGAUAGUGGAAUUCCCAGUGUAGAGGUGAAAUUCGUAGAUAUUGGGAAGAACACCGGUGGCGAAGGCGGCUAUCUGGCCCGUAAUUGACGCUGAGGCGCGAAAGCGUGGGGAGCAAACAGG
rnacentral:rRNA from 1 species